GCAAGUCGAGCGUGAAAGCCUUCGGGUGAGUAGAGCGGCGGACGGGUGAGUAACGCGUGGGAAUCUACCUAGUAGUGGGGGACAACAGUCGGAAACGACUGCUAAUACCGCAUACGUCCUAUGGGAGAAAGCGGGGGAUCUUCGGACCUCGUGCUAUUAGAUGAGCCCGCGUAAGAUUAGCUAGUUGGUGGGGUAAAGGCCUACCAAGUCUACGAUCUAUAGCUGGUUUUAGAGGAUGAUC
rnacentral:rRNA from 1 species